CGUGAGGAACCUGCCUUUCANAGGGGGACAACAGUUGGAAACGACUGCUAAUACCGCAUAAUAUAUGUUUGUCGCAUGGCAGAUAUAUCAAAGAUUUAUCGCUGAGAGAUGGCCUCGCGUCUGAUUAGCUAGUUGGUAGGGUAAUGGCCUACCAAGGCGACGAUCAGUAGCCGGACUGAGAGGUUGGCCGGCCACAUUGGGACUGAGAUACGGCCCAGACUCCUACGGAAGGCAGCAG
rnacentral:rRNA from 1 species